rnacentral:rRNA from 1 species
AACGAACGCUGGCGGCAGGCCUAACACAUGCAAGUCGAACGCUUCAGCAAUGAAGAGUGGCAGACGGGUGAGUAACGCGUGGGAACCUUCCCAGUGGUACGGAAUAGCCCAGGGAAACUUGGGGUAAUACCGUAUAAGCCCUUCGGGGGAAAGAUUUACCGCCAUUGGAUGGGCCCGCGUCGGAUUAGCUUGUUGGUGAGGUAAAAGCUCACCAAGGCGACGAUCCGUAGCUGGUCUGAGAGGAUGAUCAGCCACACUGGGACUGAGACACGGCCCAGACUCCUACGGGAGGCAGCAGUGGGGAAUAUUGGACAAUGGGCGCAAGCCUGAUCCAGCCAUGCCGCGUGAGUGACGAAGGCCUUAGGGUUGUAAAGCUCUUUUGGCGGGGACGAUAAUGACGGUACCCGCAGAAUAAGCUCCGGCUAACUUCGUG